rnacentral:rRNA from 1 species
CAAAAACAUGUCCUUUUGGUUGUUAAUUUAAGGUUUAGUCUGCCCAAUGAUUUAUUUAAUGGCCGCGGUAUUCUAACCGUGCUAAGGUAGCAUAAUCAUUUGUCUUUUAAUUGAGGGCUGGAAUGAAUGGCUGGACGAAAUAUUAUCUUUCUUUAACUUAUUAUUAGAAUUUAAUUUUUUAGUUAAAAAGCUAAAAUUUUUUUAGGGGACGAGAAGACCCUAUAGAUCUUUAUAUAAUUAUUUUUAAUUGUUUUAGUGAAUUAUAGAAUUGAUAAAAAAUUAUAUUUUGUUGGGGUGACCGUAGAAUUUAAUUAACUUCUAUUAUUUAUUUUCAUUAAUUAAUGUAUUCAUGAUCCAUUUUUAGUGAUUAUAAGAUUAAGUUACCUUAGGGAUAACAGCGUAAUUUCUUCGGAGAGUUCUUAUCGAUGAUGGAGUUUGCGACCUCGAUGUUGGAUUAAAGUAAGUAAUUAAGUGCAGUAGCUAAUUUACUAGGUCUGUUCGACCUUUAAAAUUUUACAUGAUCUGAGUUC